rnacentral:tRNA from 1 species
GGAGAAUUAUCUCAGUUGGUAGAGCGCUCGCUUUGCAUGCGAGAGGUACCGGGAUCGAUACCAGGAUUCUCCA